rnacentral:misc_RNA from 1 species
GAUGAAGAACGUAGCGAAAUGCGAUAAGUAAUGUGAAUUGCAGAAUUCAGUGAAUCAUCGAAUCUUUGAACGCACCUUGCACUCCUUGGUAUUCCGAGGAGUACGCCUGUUCGAGUGUUAUGAAGCUCUCAAAACGCAAUUGGCUUAAAACCUGAUUGUUGUUUUGGAUUUGAACUUUGCCGUGUUAUAACGGCUGGUUUUAAAAGUAUUAGCUGGUACUAGAACGAAUUGGUUCUACUCAACGUGAUAAUUAUCUGAUCGUUGAGGACAUUCCUUUCACGAGGAAUGGCCAUAGUAAAUUCAAUGGACUGCUUCUAAUCUGGCUUUAAUUCUUUAUUGGAUUAACCACUUUUCAAAUCUGACCUCGAAUCAGGUGGGACUACCCGCUGAACUUAAGCAUAUCAAUAUGCGGAGGA